rnacentral:lncRNA from 1 species
GGGGGAUGGGUCCAUGAGGCUUGUCGAAGCAGGAGCCCUCCAUCAUAGUGGGAUUGUGACCUAUGUUUGGAUCCAGCUCACAGGCAAGAUGAUGAAUCAUACCUGGACCUAGCCAAGAGGAAAGAUAUUGACACUUGUACCUCAAAAUAGAGAAUCAAGUAAGAUUGUGGGUGUAUACCAGAAUGAAGGUGUCAGAGCCAACUGCAACUCUCAUGCAUAUCAUAUAAAGUCCUCCAGUGUCAUAACACGGUCCAGCACACAGGUCAUGAAUCUCACAACUGGAGAGAUUGAAAAGUUAGAAAUGUGACUCUAAUAUGUAAA